GAUGAAGAACGCAGCGAAAUGCGAUAAGUAGUGUGAAUUGCAGAAUUCCGUGAAUCAUCGAAUCUUUGAACGCACAUUGCGCCUUCUGGUAUUCCGGAAGGCAUGCCUGUUCGAGAGUCAUUAACAACCGUUUCGAUCCCUUUCUUUCAGAAAUUACAAAGAGGAAAAGGGUUUGGUUAUGGUGGAGGAGGGAAAGGGAGCGUUUAGCCUGUAAAAAAAGAGGCUGUGUUCCGCCUCCCCCCCAAAAUUGUACAGGCGGUCGUGUGCGCCCACGCAUCGAGGUGUUGUAAAAGCUGCCACGGCACUUUUCACCUGUGCAGUGCGAGAUUGGCCAGCCGGUUUAAAAACCCCUCAAAACAAUCAAAGGUUGACCUCGGAUCAGGUAGGGAUACCCGCUGAACUUAAGCAUAUCAAUAAGCGGAGGA
rnacentral:misc_RNA from 1 species